GGGGGGACGACCAGUGUGUGCUAUAGUAAUGUAUGGCGCUCACUCUGGAAAGGCUGAAGCCUGUCUCCUUCUAUACUAUAGUUCGUCUGUAAGGCUUCAUUCAGAAAUGAAAGGGCCGCCUUUUCUGGGCGUAACCCCUGAUUCACUGACUGGUCUUCCAGAGCGUCUCUUUCCUUGUAUAUCUUCGUAACCCAUCAUCUGGUCUUCGAUGGCUCAAAGCGGGGUCUUGUGACCAUGCCUUCCCGCUCCAGACUUCUUUCUGGUCGUUUUGGCCCCCUUGAAGGCAUAGUCUUUCACCCGGGCGC